rnacentral:rRNA from 1 species
CCUACGGGUGGCAGCAGUGGGGGAUAUUACACAAUGGGGGGAACCCUGAUGCAGCGACGCCGCGUGGGUGAAGAAGCGCCUCGGCGUGUAAAGCCCUGUCAGCAGGGAAGAAAAUGACGGUACCUGAAGAAGAAGCCCCGGCUAACUACGUGCCAGCAGCCGCGGUAAUACGUAGGGGGCAAGCGUUGUCCGGAUUUACUGGGUGUAAAGGGCGUGCAGCCGGGAAGACAAGUCAGAUGUGAAAUCCCGCGGCUCAACCGCGGAACUGCAUUUGAAACUGUUUUUCUUGAGUACCGGAGAGGUCAUCGGAAUGCCUUGUGUAGCGGUGAAAUGCGUAGAUAUAAGGAAGAACACCAGUGGCGAAGGCGGAUGACUGGACGGCAACUGACGGUGAGGCGCGAAAGCGUGGGGAGCAAACAGGAUUAGAUACCCCUGUAGUC